rnacentral:rRNA from 1 species
UACGAAGGGUGCAAGCGUUACUCGGAAUUACUGGGCGUAAAGCGUGCGUAGGUGGUUGUUUAAGUCUGUUGUGAAAGCCCUGGGCUCAACCUGGGAACUGCAGUGGAAACUGGACAACUAGAGUGUGGUAGAGGGUAGCGGAAUUCCCGGUGUAGCAGUGAAAUGCGUAGAGAUCGGGAGGAACAUCCAUGGCGAAGGCAGCUACCUGGACCAACACUGACACUGAGGCACGAAAGCUAGGGGAGCAAACAGG